rnacentral:rRNA from 1 species
UACGUAGGGCGCAAGCGUUGUCCGGGAUUAUUGGGCGUAAAGAGCUCGUAGGCGGUUUGUUACGUCCGCUGUGAAAACCCAGGGCUUAACCCUGGGCUUGCAGUGGAUACGGGCAGACUAGAGGUAGGUAGGGGAGAAUGGAAUUCCCGGUGUAGCGGUGAAAUGCGCAGAUAUCGGGAGGAACACCGGUGGCGAAGGCGGUUCUCUGGGCCUUACCUGACGCUGAGGCGCGAAAGCGUGGGGAGCAAACAGG